rnacentral:other from 1 species
ACAAGGCAUGGAUGCGGCCUCGACUGUCGGGGCCUGAAAGAACGCUCCUGGAGGAGUUUUAAAUGGCACUAGGUACCGUCAAGUGGUUCAACGCAGAAAAGGGCUUUGGCUUCAUCGCCCCCGAGGAUGGAAGUCCUGAUGUGUUCGCCCACUACUCAGCCAUCGCAACAAAUGGCUACAAGUCGCUCGACGAAAACCAAAAAGUUGAGUUUGACAUCACACAGGGUCCCAAGGGACCCCAGGCGGAGAACAUCCGCCCCAUCUGAUCUUGAUAGUUCAGUAACGAAAACGCCUCGGUCCGAUACCGGGGCGUUUUCUU